rnacentral:rRNA from 1 species
AAAUUGAAGAGUUUGAUCAUGGCUCAGAUUGAACGCUGGCGGCAGGCCUAACACAUGCAAGUCGAGCGGUAGCACAGAGAGCUUGCUCUCGGGUGACGAGCGGCGGACGGGUGAGUAAUGUCUGGGAAACUGCCUGAUGGAGGGGGAUAACUACUGGAAACGGUAGCUAAUACCGCAUAACGUCGCAAGACCAAAGUGGGGGACCUUCGGGCCUCAUGCCAUCAGAUGUGCCCAGAUGGGAUUAGCUAGUAGGUGGGGUAACGGCUCACCUAGGCGACGAUCCCUAGCUGGUCUGAGAGGAUGACCAGCCACACUGGAACUGAGACACGGUCCAGACUCCUACGGGAGGCAGCAGUGGGGAAUAUUGCACAAUGGGCGCAAGCCUGAUGCAGCCAUGCCGCGUGUGUGAAGAAGGCCUUCGGGUUGUAAAGCACUUUCAGCGGGGAGGAAGGCGAUAAGGUUAAUAACCUUGUCGAUUGACGUUACCCGCAGAAGAAGCACCGGCUAACUCCGUGCCAGCAGCCGCGGUAAUACGGAGGGUGCAAGCGUUAAUCGGAAUUACUGGGCGUAAAGCGCACGCAGGCGGUCUGUCAAGUCGGAUGUGAAAUCCCCGGGCUCAACCUGGGAACUGCAUUCGAAACUGGCAGGCUAGAGUCUUGUAGAGGGGGGUAGAAUUCCAGGUGUAGCGGUGAAAUGCGUAGAGAUCUGGAGGAAUACCGGUGGCGAAGGCGGCCCCCUGGACAAAGACUGACGCUCAGGUGCGAAAGCGUGGGGAGCAAACAGGAUUAGAUACCCUGGUAGUCCACGCCGUAAACGAUGUCGAUUUGGAGGUUGUGCCCUUGAGGCGUGGCUUCCGGAGCUAACGCGUUAAAUCGACCGCCUGGGGAGUACGGCCGCAAGGUUAAAACUCAAAUGAAUUGACGGGGGCCCGCACAAGCGGUGGAGCAUGUGGUUUAAUUCGAUGCAACGCGAAGAACCUUACCUGGUCUUGACAUCCACAGAACUUUCCAGAGAUGGAUUGGUGCCUUCGGGAACUGUGAGACAGGUGCUGCAUGGCUGUCGUCAGCUCGUGUUGUGAAAUGUUGGGUUAAGUCCCGCAACGAGCGCAACCCUUAUCCUUUGUUGCCAGCGGUUCGGCCGGGAACUCAAAGGAGACUGCCAGUGAUAAACUGGAGGAAGGUGGGGAUGACGUCAAGUCAUCAUGGCCCUUACGACCAGGGCUACACACGUGCUACAAUGGCAUAUACAAAGAGAAGCGACCUCGCGAGAGCAAGCGGACCUCAUAAAGUAUGUCGUAGUCCGGAUUGGAGUCUGCAACUCGACUCCAUGAAGUCGGAAUCGCUAGUAAUCGUAGAUCAGAAUGCUACGGUGAAUACGUUCCCGGGCCUUGUACACACCGCCCGUCACACCAUGGGAGUGGGUUGCAAAAGAAGUAGGUAGCUUAACCUUCGGGAGGGCGCUUACCACUUUGUGAUUCAUGACUGGGGUGAAGUCGUAACAAGGUAACCGUAGGGGAACCUGCGGUUGGAUCACCUCCUUA